rnacentral:rRNA from 1 species
GACGAACGCUGGCGGCGUGCUUAACACAUGCAAGUCGAACGGAAAGGCCUGCUUUCCCUUGUGGAUUGCGGGUACUCGAGUGGCGAACGGGUGAGUAACACGUGAGUGAUCUGCCCCCAACUUGGGUAUAAGCCUGGGAAACUGGGUCUAAUUCCCGAUAGGACCGCAGGGUGGUGCCUGUGGUGGAAAACGAUUUUCUAGUGGUUGGGGAUGAGCUCGCGGCCUAUCAGCUUGUUGGUGGGGUAAUGGCCUACCAAGGCGGCGACGGGUAGCCGGCCUGAGAGGGUGGACGGCCACAUUGGGACUGAGAUACGGCCCAGACUCCUACGGGAGGCAGCAGUGGGGAAUAUUGCACAAUGGGCGGAAGCCUGAUGCAGCGACGCCGCGUGGGGGAUGACGGCCUUCGGGUUGUAAACUCCUUUCGACCGCGAGGAAGCCACCUGGUUGGAAGGGUGGUGACGGUAGUGGUAGAAGAAGCACCGGCUAACUACGUG